rnacentral:rRNA from 1 species
CAUUCACGGAGAGUUUGAUCCUGGCUCAGGACGAACGCUGGCGGCGUGCUUAACACAUGCAAGUCGAACGGUGAAGCCCUUCGGGGUGGAUCAGUGGCGAACGGGUGAGUAACACGUGGGAAAUCUGCCCUGCACUCUGGGACAAGCCUUGGAAACGAGGUCUAAUACCGGAUAUGACCUUCCUCUGCAUGGGGGUUGGUGGAAAGCUCCGGCGGUGCAGGAUGAUCCCGCGGCCUAUCAGCUUGUUGGUGGGGUAAUGGCCUACCAAGGCGACGACGGGUAGCCGGCCUGAGAGGGCGACCGGCCACACUGGGACUGAGACACGGCCCAGACUCCUACGGGAGGCAGCAGUGGGGAAUAUUGCACAAUGG